rnacentral:pre_miRNA from 1 species
UGGAAGACUAGUGAUUUUGUUGUUUUUAGAUUACUAAAGUGACAACAAAUCGCAGUCUACCAUA